rnacentral:misc_RNA from 1 species
AAAACACGCUCCCACCCCCUCAUCGGGUAGCGGGACGCGGCAUGUGGCCCCCCGUAGCGCAAGCUGCGGUGGGCCGAAGAUAUGGUUGCCGGCGUAUCGUGCCGGACACAGCGCGUGGUGAGCGACCUCGCUUUACUUACCGCAGUGCAUCCGGGGCGUAGCCGACGUGAUGGCCUCUAAGGACCCUUUUAACGGUGCGCACGACGCUCCGA